rnacentral:rRNA from 1 species
UACGAAGGGGGCUAGCGUUGCUCGGAAUGACUGGGCGUAAAGAGCGCGCAGGCGGUCGUUCAAGUCGAGUGUGAAAGCCCCCGGCUCAACUGGGGAGGGUCACUCGAUACUGAUCGACUCGAAGGCAGGAGAGGGAAGCGGAAUUCCCGGUGUAGUGGUGAAAUGCGUAGAUAUCGGGAGGAACACCAGUGGCGAAGGCGGCUUUCUGGACCGCAACUGACGCUGAGGCGCGAAAGCGUGGGGAGCAAACAGGG